rnacentral:rRNA from 1 species
AUACGGAGGGUGCGAGCGUUAAUCGGAAUUACUGGGCGUAAAGCGUACGUAGGCGGUUUGCUAAGUCAGAUGUGAAAGCCCCGGGCUUAACCUGGGAACUGCAUUUAAAACUGGCGAACUAGAGUUGAGUAGAGGGGAGUGGAAUUUCAGGUGUAGCGGUGAAAUGCGUAGAGAUCUGAAGGAACACCAGUGGCGAAGGCGACUCCCUGGACUCGAACUGACGCUGAGGUACGAAAGCGUGGGUAGCAAACGGGAUUAGAAACCCCAGUAGUCC